rnacentral:rRNA from 1 species
UACGUAGGGGGCAAGCGUUGUCCGGAAUCACUGGGCGUAAAGGGCGCGUAGGUGGCCUGUGGAAGUCUGCGGUGAAAGCCCGGCGCUCAACGCCGGGUCGGCCGUGGAUACUCUCGGGCUCGAGCUUACUAGAGGCAGAUGGAAUUCCGGGUGUAGCGGUGGAAUGCGUAGAGAUCCGGAAGAACACCGGUGGCGAAGGCGGUCUGCUGGGGUAAUGCUGACACUGAGGAGCGAAAGCGUGGGGAGCGAACAGG